CGAUGGCAAAGGUGGUCCAUGGGCCAGACUAUGAUCCAAGCACCCAGGACUUUGAUGGAGAAGUAGUCAUGAGGGUGGGAGGAGGAAAGAAGCAUGGGCGGUACUGGCUCGGCGAUGGCAUAAUCGAUACAGCCACUACUCCCUCCCUCUCUCAGAUCCGGGCAAGAAGCACGAGCUCAAGCCCCGCCAUACGACCUCGGCCGGACACUGCACAGCACCGGAUGGAGGCACUCUAGGUCCAGCUGGAAGAAGAGAAGAGGCGACGGGAGGAGUUGGAGGCGAGGAUCGCAGCCGAGCGGGAGGAGUUGGAGGCGAGGAUCGCAGCCGAGCGGGAGGCCGAGCAGCGGAGGUUCGCAGACAUUCUACAGUACAUGCAAAGUCUUGGCGCCGCCCAGGGAAUGCCUCCACCACCUGGGCUAUUCGCUCUACCUCCACCUCCCGGUGCAACUACUCCUAAUCAAUCGGCGGCAUCGAAUGAAGUGGCUCAUGCUACAAAUCCUUCACCAAAUCAGUCUCGUUGUCCGUGAUGAUAUUUGUAGUUGUUAAUGGUACUUUUAUUUGCACUUCUUAUGGUGAAUGAUGGAGCACUGGGAUUACUUGUGAACCUAUUGUGAUAUACUGUGACUUAUGUGAUGUUUGUGAACCUAUUGUGAUAUACUGUGACUUAUGUGAUGUUUGUGAUAUGUAU